CAACUACUCCCUCCGUCUCAAAAUUCUUGUCUUAGAUUUAUCUAAAUACAGAUGUAUCUAGUUACAUUUUAGUGUUAGAUACAUCCGUAUCUAGACAAAUAUAAGACAAGAAUUUUGGGACGGAGAGAGUAUAUU
rnacentral:pre_miRNA from 1 species